AUACGGAAGGUCCGGGCGUUAUCCGGAUUUAUUGGGUUUAAAGGGAGCGCAGGCUGAUGAUUAAGCGUGACGUGAAAUGUAGCCGCUCAACGGCUGAACUGCGUCGCGAACUGGUUAUCUUGAGUGAGUUCGAUGUUGGCGGAAUUCGUGGUGUAGCGGUGAAAUGCUUAGAUAUCACGAAGAACUCCGAUUGCGAAGGCAGCCAACAAGGCCUUUACUGACGCUAAAGCUCGAAGGUGCGGGUAUCGAACAGGAUUAGAUACCCUGGUAGUCCGCACGGUAAACGAUGGAUGCCCGCUGUUUGCGAUAUACUGUGAGCGGCCAAGAGAAAUCGUUAAGCAUCCCACCUGGGGAGUACGCCGGCAACGGUGAAACUCAAAUGAAUUGACGGGG
rnacentral:rRNA from 1 species